GAUGAACGCUGGCGGCGUGCCUAAUACAUGCAAGUAGAACGCUGAAGGAGGAGCUUGCUCUUUCCGGAUGAGUUGCGAACGGGUGAGUAACGCGUAGGUAACCUGCCUGGUAGCGGGGGAUAACUAUUGGAAACGAUAGCUAAUACCGCAUAACAGUAGAUAUUGCAUGAUAUUUGCUUGAAAGGGGCAAUUGCUCCACUACCAGAUGGACCUGCGUUGUAUUAGCUAGUUGGUGAGGUAACGGCUCACCAAGGCGACGAUACAUAGCCGACCUGAGAGGGUGAUCAGCCACACUGGGACUGAGACACGGCCCAGACUCCUACGGGAGGCAGCAGUAGGGAAUCUUCGGCAAUGGACGGAAGUCUGACCGAGCAACGCCGCGUGAGUGAAGAAGGUUUUCGGAUCGUAAAGCUCUGUUGUAAGAGAAGAACGAGUGUGAGAGUGGAAAGUUCACACUGUGACGGUAUCUGACCAGAAAGGGACGGCUAACUACGUG
rnacentral:rRNA from 1 species